CCCUUAGAUGUUCUGGGCUGCACGUGCGCUACACUGAUGAAGGCAGCGAGUUUACCUUGGCCGGGAGGUCUGGGGAAUCUUGUAAACUUUAUCGUGCUGGGGAUAGAGCAUUGCAAUUAUUGCUCUUGAACGAGGAAUUCCUAGUAAGCGCAAGUCAUCAGCUUGCGUUGAUUACGUCCCUGCCCUUUGUACACACCGCCCGUCGCUACUACCGAUUGAAUGGCUUAGUGAGACCUCCGGAUUGUUUUGACGUGUCUGGCAACGGACAUUUUAAAGUGAGAAGCUGGUCAAACUUGGUCAUUUAGAGGAAGUAAAAGUCGUANCA
rnacentral:rRNA from 1 species